rnacentral:rRNA from 1 species
AUUGAACGCUGGCGGCAGGCCUAACACAUGCAAGUCGAACGAGUGGCGGACGUGUGAGUAAUGUCUGGGAAACUGUCUGAUGGAGGGGGAUAACUACUGGAAACGGUAGCUAAUACCGCAUACCAUCAGAUGUGCCCAGAUGGGAUUAGCUAGGUGGUGGGGUAACGGCUCACAAAUGCGACGAUCCCUAGCUGGUCUGAGAGGAUGACCAGCCAUACGUGAACUGAGCCACGGUCCAGACGCCUACGGUAGGGAGAAGUGGGCAAUAUUGCACAAUGGGCGCAAUCCUGAUGCAGCCAUGCCGCGUGUAUGAAGAAGUCCUUCGGGUUGUAAAGUACUUUCAGCCGGGAGGCGUUACCCGCAGAAGAAGCACCGGCUAACACCGUGCCAGCAGCCGCGGUAAUAC